GCCUCCGUGGCGGAAUUGGUAUACGCGCAGGUUUUAGGAACCUGUGGGGUAACCCUUAGAGGUUCGAGUCCUCUCGGAGGCA
rnacentral:tRNA from 2 species